GAACAAUUUCAACCACAUCAGAUUUCAUUUCAUCUUCUUGGAGGUACUUUGCUAUUCUGUCAGCUGAAACUUUUCCUUGUGCAAGUACUGAAAGCAAAUCAGGGAUGGUAAAGAUUGGCUCUUGCAGCAUUCUGAAUGUUGCCAAUGCAGACAAAACUCUUCCUGUUGUCAGAGGAAUUCCUAUUAGUAUGCAUGUUCCAAAUGUUGCCGCUGAUAUGAACAUAGGUGCUCCCCAGAAUAUGAAAGAUGAAAUUAGUUGUACUCUUUCAGACCUCCACAGCCAGUUGUACUCUGUGUUUCUCAAGGCUUCUAACUUGUGAAGGUAUUGUAUGUCCCAAGCUUGUAGUUUCAAAAUUUUCAUGUUUCGGAGGACUUCUGCGGUUGCUUUCAUUCGUUCAUCUUUAGCUUUCAUGAUGCUGCUCUGGAAUCUUUUUUGUGCUCUUGUUAUAGGAAUAUUGCAUGCCAUUACCAUUGUUGUUGCUGCUAAUCCAGCAAAAGAUCCCACUCCCAGAUUCUUAUGAAGAACAUAUAUUGCUAGUGAAAUCUGAACUGGAAGCAUCCAUAUGAUAUUUGAAUGCCACAUGAGGUCUGUGAUCCUUUGGAUAUCCACACUUAUGUAGUUGAUAAUCUCCCCACUUGUAUGGCUCUGCCGAGACUCACUUGAUAACUCAAGACCCUUUUUAUAUAUAUGGGAUAUUAGAGCAGCUCUUACACGCAUUGCAAGCUGUUGGGCUCCAAAAUUCCAUUGUCUCUGGCACACAGACUCCACAACUUUGGCACCUAGGAAU
rnacentral:lncRNA from 1 species